rnacentral:rRNA from 1 species
GAUGAACGCUGGCGGCGUGCCUAAUACAUGCAAGUCGAGCGAACAGACGAGUAGCUUGCUCCUCUGACGUUAGCGGCGGACGGGUUAGUAACACGUGGAUAACCUACCUAUAAGACUGGGAUCACUUCGUGAAACCGGAGCUAAUACCGGAUAAUAUAUUGAACCGCAUGGUUCAAUAGUGAAAGACGGUUUUGCUGUCACUUAUAGAUGGAUCCGCGCCGCAUUAGCUAGUUGGUAAGGUAACGGCUUACCAAGGCAACGAUGCGUAGCCGACCUGAGAGGGUGAUCGGCCACACUGGAACUGAGACACGGUCCAGACUCCUACGGGAGGCAGCAGUAGGGAAUCUUCCGCAAUGGGCGAAAGCCUGACGGAGCAACGCCGCGUGAGUGAUGAAGGUCUUCGGAUCGUAAAACUCUGUUAUUAGGGAAGAACAAAUGUGUAAGUAACUAUGCACGUAUUGACGGUACCUAAUCAGAAAGCAACGGCUAACUACGUG